rnacentral:rRNA from 1 species
UACAGAGGGGGCGAGCGUUGUUCGGAAUUACUGGGCGUAAAGGGCGCGUAGGCGGCCUUCUAAGUCGAACGUGAAAUCCCCGGGCUCAACCCGGGAACUGCGUCCGAUACUGCAUGGCUUGAGUCCCGGAGAGGGUGGUGGAAUUCCCAGUGUAGCGGUGAAAUGCGUAGAUAUUGGGAGGAACACCGGUGGCGAAGGCGGCCACCUGGACGGGUACUGACGCUGAUGCGCGAAAGCGUGGGGAGCAAACAGG